UAGAGUUUGAUCCUGGCUCAGGACGAACGCUGGCGGCGUGCUUAACACAUGCAAGUCGAACGGAAAGGUCUCUUCGGAGAUACUCGAGUGGCGAACGGGUGAGUAACACGUGGGCGAUCUGCCCUGCACUUCGGGAUAAGCCUGGGAAACUGGGUCUAAUACCGGAUAGGACCACGGGAUUCAUGUCCUGUGGUGGAAAGCUUUUUGCGGUGCAGGAUGA
rnacentral:rRNA from 1 species